rnacentral:tRNA from 1 species
GUAGCUCAGUGAUAGAGCAUUUGUCUAGUAUGCAUCAGGCCCUGGGUUCAAUCCCCAGC